rnacentral:lncRNA from 1 species
UUUAUUUAUUUGAGAGAGAGAGCACGAGCAGUGGGGAGGGACAAAGGUAGAGGAGAAACAAGCAGACUCCACGCUGAGCAGGGAGUCCAACAUUGGCCUCGAUCCCAGGACCCUGAGAUCAUGUCCUGAGCUGAAGACAGACUAAGCCACUCAGGCACCCCUCAACUAUAUUUUCUUUGUAGAUUUUUCUCUUCCUCUUUCACUUCUGCUGAACUUGCCUUAUGUUGCAAUAAAGUUCAACAACAUAUACUUGAAAAAUAAACUUGCUUUCAAUAAAGAUGACUGGCAAGCUAAAACUUGCACCAAACUACACCAUCAAUAUACUUUCAGAAGUGGAAUGAAUCUUCAUGGGGUUGAAAUAUAAUAUCCCUGGAUAUUUCCUUCUUCAGAAGGUGUUGUGACAUUUUAUUUAAAUUUUUGAAAAUGUUAUGCAGCACUUUUGGAGAGAGGUGUUUGCAAAAGGAGAAAAAUAAACCUAAUCAAAGAACAAUAUGAUUCUAAAUAAACAGAACACCACCACAAUAUCUUCCUUAAAAAUACAAUAUAAAACAUACAAACACACUUGACUUGUGUAUUUCAAAUUACAGAAAAAAGCUGAAAACCUAGGAACCCGUUGUUCUACUUUUUAAUCUUAACCUAGCAGCCUGAUCCCCAUUAACACCUCAGAAAAUGUUAACUGAAAAUUGUACCAAGACUUUAAAAUUACUGCAAAUUCAGAAGAAAAUCAAACAUUCGACCAAACAUAAAAAUCAAAUCUUUCUUUUAAAAAAAUAUUUUAUUUAUUUAUUCAUAAAAAAAACACAGAGAGAGAGGCAGAACACAGGCAGAGGGAAAAGCUGGCUUCCUGUGGAGUAACUGAUGCAGAACUCGAUCCCAGGACCCCGGAAUCAUGACCUGAGCCAAAGGCAGAUGCUCAACAACUGAGCCACCUAGCUCCAAAAAUCAAAUCUUUCAUUUAAGUUUACAAAUUUCUAUUUAUAGGCAACAUAACAUUUAGGGUAUCAUUAGUCAGCGAAGGACAGAGUGUUCCAGGAUAUAAAUUGUCAUGAAAUUUUAAUUCUGUAAACUCAAAAUGUGUUGAAUUUCUUUCCCUGUAGGUUGUCUGUAUUCAAAGCAUGUGAUGAGCACUGGGUGUUGGAGCUAAGUGCUGAAUCACAAAAUCGUAGACCUGAAAUUAAUAUUAUACUGUAUGUUAACUAACUAGAAUUUAAAUAAAAACUUUUUAAAAAGCAUCCCUGGCUUUCAUCUCCAACAUAAACCCAACUGCCACGUGUGACAAAGAACACUUUGAUUAGUUUCAGGCUUUUCUUCACUUUUAUUCCUCUUUGAGCAAAAAGUCCAAUCUUCAAGAGCACGUGGGGCCUGAAGAAAUGUAGACGUCCAGAGACUGGCUAUUCCCAGAAAUGCCCACCCCUCUGCUGAAGAGUGCCUUGGGAAAUUAGUUGAGACCUUUCUGAAGCUGGGCUAUUCUAGCUUCCCUGGCUGGUCUCUGGGUGGCAAAAUUCGUUCCUGCAGUCCUCGUGAAGACAAGUUGAAGUCCCUCUGUGAGGGAGCCUUUCACAGCCCAACAUUGAACAAUGUUUCACUGAAUCCACAAGUACACAUGUUGGUUUCAGUAACCUUGACAAAUAGUUCUUUGGGGGAAAAUGCUAUGGAAGGCAUAUUUGCCAAUUAUGUCACAAUCAGAGUUCGGUUUCAUCUUACUUGGUUAGUCAUUGAUUAGCAGUAUUUCAAAUGUUGAUGUACUUCGAGGCACAUUCCUUCAGACCCACUAAAUAUGGUACCACAGCUUUCAUUGUUAAGUGAACCGC